UACGUAGGUGGCGAGCGUUGUCCGGAAUUACUGGGCGUAAAGGGCGAGUAGGCGGUCAUACAAGUCAGAUGUGAAAGGCAAGGGCUUAACCCUUGGACAGCAUUUGAAACUGUAUGACUUGAGUGCGGUAGAGGAAAGUGGAAUUCCCAGUGUAGCGGUGAAAUGCGUAGAUAUUGGGAGGAACACCAGUGGCGAAGGCGACUUUCUGGGCCGUAACUGACGCUGAGGCGCGAAAGCGUGGGGAGCAAACAGGAUUAGAUACCCUGGUAGUCCACGCCGUAAACGAUGGAUGCUAGGUGUGGGAGGUAUCGACCCCUUCCGUGCCGGAGUUAACGCAAUAAGCAUCCCGCCUGGGGAGUACGACCGCAAGGUUGAA
rnacentral:rRNA from 1 species